rnacentral:rRNA from 1 species
GGACCAAGGAGUCUAGCAUGUGCGCAAGUCAUUGGGAUAUUAUAAUAAACCUAAAGGCGUAAUGAAAGUAAAUAUAUGUAAAAUUUAUUUUAUAUAUAAAGGGAAGAUGGGUAACGUUAUUUAUGUUACCUCGCAUUCCCGGGGCGUCGCGUAUUCAUUGCGAAUUGCGGCGCACCAAGAGCGUACACGCUGGGACCC